rnacentral:rRNA from 1 species
CAGUCGCCACGGGAAUACGAAGGGGGCUAGCGUUGCUCGGAAUGACUGGGCGUAAAGGGCGCGUAGGCGGUUUGUACAGUUGGAUGUGAAAUUCCUGGGCUUAACCUGGGGGCUGCAUUCAAUACGUGCAGGCUUGAGUGGGGAAGAGGGUCGUGGAAUUCCCAGUGUAGAGGUGAAACUCGUAGAUAUUGGGAAGAACACCGGUGGCGAAGGCGGCUCACUGGCCCGGUACUGACGCUGAGGCACAAAAGCGUGGGGAGCAAACAGGAUUAGAUACCCCAGUAGUCCCUGUCUCUUAUAC